ACAACAAAUUAAGUGGAGACUUUCCAAGAAAUAUUGAAGAUUUAACAGGAGCAACCUACAUAGAUCUUUCAUAUAACAACUUCAGUGUUGAUCACCAAGAACCAGAGACAUGUUAUGAGCAAAAUGUGAACUUGUUUGCAAGCUUUCGAAGGAAUAACUCAGGACCAGUUUCUUCCAAGAGCAGCACUAGAAUCUGUACUAAAAGUAAGUUAAUCAAAUAUGUAAUUCAUGCAAACUCAGCUAUCUUACUCAUAUUGCCAAGCUAAUGUUGUAAUACUCCUUUACCAACAUGUGAAAAAAGG